rnacentral:lncRNA from 1 species
GCACCUGGACCCUGCUCAGAGGACCCUGUAUAGGGACGUGAUGCUGGAGAACUACAGUCACCUUGUCUCAGUGGGGUAUUGUGUUCCUGAACCAGAAGUGAUCCUCAAGUUGGAACAAGGAGAGGAACCCUGGGUAUUAGAGGAAGAAUUUUCAAGCCAGAGCUACCCAG